AUAGAGUAGUACCUCAGCGUGUUUGCUUAUGGUCUGGCCGUUUUUUGUUAUUAUCUUUUUUGUGGUCUGAUCAGUUCUAGUAUUGAAAACUGGUAAGCAUCCAUGCAGCAGGAAGUGCUUAUAUAGUGAAAAGGAUGUUGACAGGUAACAUUGUUUCUGCUGGCACUUGCUAUUUAAUGCUGCUUCAUUUUGAAGUUAUUUUCAAUCAAUUAGUUUGAAAUGAAUGAAACUGAUGAUUUUUGGGUAAUGUUAAAGAUUCUGUGUUUUGUACUACUGGCAGAUUAUUUGAUGGAUUUAUUUGAUGAUUGAGCAAAUUGCGGGUAAUAACCCCUCCCAUCUAUACUUUUAGUAGCACUUAUUAAGUCUCAAAUUAUUUAAAAGCACUAACACUUCUUGAUUUACGAGGUACAAAGUGGGUAUCUGUGAUUUACACUGAUCAGCCAGUGGUAAACACCAUAGCUGAAGAGCAAGAUGAUAAUGUGAUGUCAGAUAUUAACCAGGAGCCUCCUUCAGGUACAACCAAAAAGGUGCGAGGGAAGACAAGAGGAGUGAAUGCAGAUAAGGUGUUCUCCCAAUUGAAUUCUAAAAUACCUGUGACUUUGACUGAAGAAAAUGGCAGACCUACGGGCCCUUAUGCUGAGAUGUUUGCAAAUGAAAUUGGUUACACAAUUCGAAACUACGCCCCACUGAAUGUGGAAAAAUGGAAGAAGAUUGAAAAAGCAGAUGUGGAGAACUUGAUCAAAAGAACCCAAAAUAAGUUUGAAUUUGACAUGUCGCUCCCUUGGGUCCAGAGAUAUGUAAUCAUAACAUGAAGCUGUCAAGACUCAGGAAGAAUGGGAGUUUCUUUGCACUCAUUUUUCUAGUGAAAAGUUUAAGAUUCGCUCAGAGAAGAAUGUUCUUAAUAGGUCAAAGUUGACAUAUCACCACAAAGCUGGGUCAAAAUCAUUUAUGUCACACCAAGAGCAAAUUGCAGCACAUACUGGAGAGAUGCAAGGUUCAAUUGAUCGUUUUGAAACAGAGUAUAGAAGCACAAAAAAAUGAUGGGACUUGGGAGCAAAGAAAAAUGGGAUCAAAUGAUAAAGAUGCGAGCAGAUACCGCUCAACCUGAUGGAACUCGAACAAUGACAGAGGAGGAAAUUUGUGCAAAAGUUUCCAGUCAAAUCAGGCUACAUUAAGGGCUGUGGUUUUGGUCCUAGACCAUCACCAUUAAGGUUCUCUUGUUCUUCGAUGAAUGAAAUGUCUAAAAGAAUAAAGAGUUGUAAGAACAGCUUCAAGAGACCUAACAACUUGUAGGAACUCAACAACAAAAGAUCGAUGCGUGAAAUGAGGCAAUCCAAAGAUUGGAGGAGCAAGCCAAAAAGUUUGAGGAGUUUAUGACUAAUUUUUUCAGGCAACAUCCAUCAGCUUAGUAUUCUUAGUGAACUUAAACUUGGAGAAAUAUUUCUUUGAUCCUGUUGCAUUUGUUAUUUUUUUAGGCUAGCAUUGUUACUUAUGGUAGAAACUUGCUUGUUUUAUUUAUUUUAAUUGUUUUGAUGUACUGUGGUGACAAUUAAUGACAAUUAUUUAUAUUUUGAGCGUUUU